CAUACCUCCAUUACGAAAUCAUUGAAAAAGCAGUUGGCUCAUAAUUUUGGGCCUACCAUGUCGUCAAUUCUGAAUUUGCAUCAGUGCAAUCUGGUUACGUGAUCAUUCUGUUCUAGUGACAGUUAGGUUCGCGUCAAAAUUAGCGAAACAGGAGUCCAAACCGGCCACAAGAUUGUUGAUUCCCGGAACCUAAUCACUGAUCACUCCAGCAAUGUAGAACUGAUCCUCUCAUCGUCUUCAAUCUCUGUCUGGACCAGGAAUAGCAAAAUUAGAAGUUUAUUAUGACUCUGUUUUGCUCCAGUUCGCUCGCAGAUUGAUCACCAUUGUCGCUACUUUGCUAAAUUCCAAUUUCGUUACCACAAAGCUCAUCGCUGGAUAGAAGGAAGUUUGCUUCUGUUUGUUCACGACGUAGUAGAAGACAGCACAUUCGGUGACGUGAACUGAAAUGAUGACUCCGUUCAAAUCCGCUGAGAAAGGGAUUGAUUACCAGAUCCGUUUUCAACACAAGUGGUCUGCUCUUUCACUUUCUGAACUCUGCUUCUGGUCCUCUUUUGAUUCCGCAACCUUAUUCUCAUACCAAAUUGCUGAAGUGGGAAAUUUGGAAUGAAUUCCAUUAUCCAUGCAAAUGAGGACAUUUGGCUCAAGCUACUUGAGGAAAGGUGUUGCACAUCAUUAACAUAUCUUUCAAAUACACAAUUAAUGUACUUGGAAUUGGAUCAUAAUUGAAGUUGUUAAUCUUGAAAAGAGACAUGGAUCCCUAUGACAGGGUGGCACUUUCCAUGGAGAUAAGCAAAUGGAGGGAGCUCAAAAAUGUUAAAUCCUCAUUGAUUGGCUUGGAAGAUGUGAAGGGAUGAUUUUUUGCUGUGACUAUCAUUUGUGGUGUUUAGUAUGCUUCCCGUGUCAUAUAAUGUGAUCAUUUAUUUCAGGAAUUCGUGGCUUUCUUUUCUAGCCUUGGUAAUUUCUUCCUAUAAAAUUAAGAAGUUAAACACAUCCCAUCUCCAAGAAGAGGGAGAGAAGUUACUACUUAAUCGUCCUCUAUUGGACCUUUCACGGCAGCCUUGCAACUUAGCUAAUGAGGGCUCAUUUUUCAUUACUGAUACAUAUGGCUCAUGCUGAGUGCUAAAAGGCUUGAAACAGUGAUCCUGAUCAACAUUUAGAUUGCCUGCUUCCCAAAGCAUAGAUUUGACCAAGCUAAGGGGCAACAUGCUAUUAAGUAGACCUACAAGGACAACUAAAGGGCAAUGUUCCCGGCCAGAGACUGACAUCUCCCACUAGUAAGUUAGAAAACUAUUUCUUAGUUUUAAUUGUCUUUUUGGUUGUUGUACUAGCAUUAUAAGUCCACAUAAUGGAAACCUUUAACCAUUUAUUAUUAAGCACAAAAUUUUUCACUUAAUUUAAUAUUGAUGUUGCCUUCACGCAUGGUUACUCAUCCAAUUGAUUCAACGCAGCCGAAAGGAAAAGUUUGAUGAGUCAUUUUUUUGUCCUCACUGUUGCCUAAAAUAUAUGUAAAUUAUGUGUACAUAUAACUCUAAAUUUUGUGCAUGAUAAAAAAAGUAAUCUCACUUUUCUUCAAGGAAGUUUCUGUUAUUUGCAGUUCAAAGAAACUUUAGUAGGCACACCCCUCAAUGGAGGGGUCAGAAAAUCUGAAACUCACUAAUGUUGGCCUGCCUGAAGCCACACACUGCUUCUUUUUGACUUCUCGGUUUCUUGCAACUUUAAGGAGCUUUGGUAGGCCUAGGCUGCCUUCCCAAAAUGCUGCAAUCGUGCUCCAUGUGAUUCUGGUACACUUGUGGCUUCCCCUUUAUUUAAUAUUAAAUUAACCUGUUGGUGCUUUAUCUGCUAGAAAAGAAAAAGAAAUUUUGACUAACUAAUUUAGUUUCAGUGAUCAUUUUGUUGCACCUAUUCUUAAUAAUAUGCUGAAAACUUUUCCUUGGAUCA